AGAGUUUGAUCCUGGCUCAGAGCGAACGCUGGCGGCAUGCUUAACACAUGCAAGUCGCACGGUCAGCAAUGGCAGUGGCGGACGGGUGAGUAACGCGUAGGAAUCUAUCUCUGGGUGGGGGACAACUGUGGGAAACUACAGCUAAUACCGCAUGAUACCUGAGGGUCAAAGGCGCAAGUCGCCUGGAGAGGAGCCUGCGUCUGAUUAGCUAGUUGGUGAGGUAAAGGCCCACCAAGGCGACGAUCAGUAGCUGGUCUGAGAGGAUGAUCAGCCACAUUGGGACUGAGACACGGCCCAAACUCCUACGGGAGGCAGCAGUGGGGAAUAUUGGACAAUGGGGGCAACCCUGAUCCAACAAUGCCGCGUGUGUGAAGAAGGUCUUCGGAUUGUAAAGCACUUUGGCAGG
rnacentral:rRNA from 1 species